AGAGUUUGAUCCUGGCUCAGGAUGAACGCUGGCGGCGUGCUUAACACAUGCAAGUCGAACGUGAGGAUGCAGCAAUGGAUCUGAAAGUGGCGGACGGGUGAGUAACACGUGGGUGACCUGCCUUGGAGUGGGGGAUAACCAUGGGAAACUGUGGCUAAUACCGCAUGGUCUUAGUGAUGUGGGAACAUGGCUAAGUAAAGCUUUAGUGCUUCAAGAGGGGCCUGCGUCCGAUUAGGUAGUUGGUGAGGUAAUGGCUCACCAAGCCGAUGAUCGGUAGCUGGUCUGAGAGGACGAUCAGCCACACGGGAACUGAGAGACGGUCCCGACUCCUACGGGAGGCAGCAGUAGGGAAUCUUGCGCAAUGGGGGAAACCCUGACGCAGCGACGCCGCGUGCGGGAUGAAGGCCUUCGGGUCGUAAACCGCUUUCAGCAGGGACGAAAUUGACGGUACCUGCAGAAGAAGGCCCGGCCAACUACGUGCCAGCAGCCGCGGUGAUACGUAGGGGUCUAGCGUUGUCCGGAAUUAUUGGGCGUAAAGAGCUCGUAGGCGGUUCGGCAAGUCGGAUGUGAAAUCUCCACGCUUAACGUGGAGGGGCCAUUCGAAACUGCCGUGACUCGAGUCCGGUAGGGGAGUUCGGAAUUCCCGGUGUAGCGGUGAAAUGCGCAGAUAUCGGGAGGAACACCAGUGGCGAAGGCGGAACUCUGGGCCGGAACUGACGCUGAAGAGCGAAAGCGUGGGGAGCGAACAGGAUUAGAUACCCUGGUAGUCCACGCCGUANACGUUGGGCACUAGGUGUGGGGUUCUAUCGACGGAUUCCGUGCCGUAGCUAACGCAUUAAGUGCCCCGCCUGGGGAGUACGGCCGCAAGGCUAAAACUCAAAGGAAUGACGGAAGGGGAAUCGCGCGCACUUCC
rnacentral:rRNA from 1 species